GGUGUGUGUCAGUGUGUAGUGUCUGGUGUGUGUCAGUGUGUAGUCUGGUGUGUGUCAGUGUUGUCAGUGUGUGUCAGUGUGUAGUGUCUGGUGUGUGUCAGUGUGUAGAGUCUGGUGUGUGUCAGAGUGUGUAGAGUCUGGUGUGUGUCAGUGUGUGUAGAGUCUUGUGUCUGUCUGAGUGUAGUGUCUGGUGUGUGUCAGUGUGUAGAGUCUGGUGUGUGUCAGUGUGCAGAGUGUAGUGUCUGGUGUGUGUCAGUGUGUAGAGUCUGGUGUGUGUCAGUGUGUAGUGUCUGGUGUGUGUCAGUGUGUAGAGUCUGGUGUGUGUCAGUGUGUAGAGUCUGGUGUGUGUCAGUGUGUAGUGUCUGGUGUGUGUCAGUGUGUAGAGUCUGGUGUGUGUCAGGGUGUAGUGUCUGGUGUGUGUCAGUGUGUAGUGUCUGGUGUGUGUGUCAGUGUGCAGAGUGUGUAGUGUCUGGUGUGUGUCAGUGUGUAGAGUCUGGUGUGUGUCAGUGUGCAGAGUGUAGUGUCUGGUGUGUGUCAGUGUGUCAGUGUGUAGUGUCUGGUGUGUGUCAGUGUGCAGUGUAUAGUGUCUGGUGUGUGUCAGUGUGUAGUGUCUGGUGUGUGUCAGUGUGUAGAGUCUGGUGUGUGUCAGUGUGCAGUGUAUAGUGUCUGGUGUGUGUCAGUGUGUAGUGUCUGGUGUGUGUCAGUGUGUAGUGUGUAGUGUCUGGUGUGUGUCAGUGUGUAGUGUGCAGAGGGCGGCGUGCGGCGGGCUGAUGUUGCCGCGUGUGAGGGUGGGCUGUGAGCCAACACGGUGGUCAGACACGUGGUCACAUGACCGCAGACCGGCGCCCUCCAGAGGCCGGC
ensembl:lncRNA